GAUGAACGCUGGCGGCGUGCCUAAUACAUGCAAGUCGAGCGAACAGACGAGGAGCUUGCUCCUCUGACGUUAGCGGCGGACGGGUGAGUAACACGUGGAUAACCUACCUAUAAGGCUGGGAUAACUUCGGGAAACCGGAGCUAAUACCGGAUAAUAUAUUGAACCGCAUGGUUCAAUAGUGAAAGACGGUUUUGCUGUCACUUAUAGAUGGAUCCGCGCCGCAUUAGCUAGUUGGUAAGGUAACGGCUUACCAAGGCAACGAUGCGUAGCCGACCUGAGAGGGUGAUCGGCCACACUGGAACUGAGACACGGUCCAGACUCCUACGGGAGGCAGCAGUAGGGAAUCUGCCGCAAUGGGCGAAAGCCUGACGGAGCAACGCCGCGUGAGUCAUGAAGGUCUUCGGAUCGUAAAACUCUGUUAUUAGGGAAGAACAAAUGUGUAAGUAACUAUGCACGUCUUGACGGUACCUAAUCAGAAAGCCACGGCUAACUACGUG
rnacentral:rRNA from 1 species